rnacentral:rRNA from 1 species
UACAGAGGUCUCAAGCGUUGUUCGGAUUCAUUGGGCGUAAAGGGUGCGUAGGUGGCGGGGUAAGUCAGGUGUGAAAUCUCGGGGCUCAACCCCGAAACUGCACUUGAUACUGCCUUGCUCGAGUACUGGAGAGGAGAUUGGAAUUUACGGUGUAGCAGUGAAAUGCGUAGAUAUCGUAAGGAAGACCAGUGGCGAAGGCGAGUCUCUGGACAGUUACUGACACUGAGGCACGAAGGCCAGGGGAGCAAACGGG